rnacentral:rRNA from 1 species
AUGCCCAUAUCACAUUGUAACACCGGUUCCCAUAUGAUCAUUGAAGUUAAGCAAUGUUGAGCCUGGUCAGUACCUAGAUGGGUGACUGCUUGGAAAUACCAGAUGCUGAA